UACGGAGGGUGCGAGCGUUGUCCGGAAUCACUGGGCGUAAAGGGCGCGUAGGCGGCUGGGGAAGUCGGCGGUGAAAGCCCGGAGCUCAACUCCGGGUCGGCCGUCGAGACUCCUCGGCUCGAGCUCACUAGAGGCAGAUGGAAUUCCGGGUGUAGCGGUGGAAUGCGUAGAGAUCCGGAAGAACACCGGUGGCGAAGGCGGUCUGCUGGGGGUGAGGCUGACGCUGAUGCGCGACAGCGUGGGGGAGCAAACAGG
rnacentral:rRNA from 1 species